rnacentral:rRNA from 1 species
UACGUAGGGGGCUAGCGUUGUCCGGAAUCAUUGGGCGUAAAGCGCGUGUAGGCGGUCCGGUAAGUCCGCUGUGAAAGUCGGGGGCUCAACCCUCGAAUGCCGGUGGAUACUGUCAGGCUAGAGUGCGGAAGAGGCGAGUGGAAUUCCUGGUGUAGCGGUGAAAUGCGCAGAUAUCAGGAGGAACACCAAUUGCGAAGGCAGCUCGCUGGGACGUAACUGACGCUGAGACGCGAAAGCGUGGGGAGCAAACAGG